GUGGCUGUGGCUCAGUUGGUAGAGUCCGGAUUGUGAUUCCGGUUGUCGUGGGUUCGAGCCCCAUCAGCCACCCCA
rnacentral:tRNA from 1 species